AAUUUUGAAAUAUUGGAUCGCAAGAUAUUUCUGAAAAUAAACAAUAAUACUGAAAUGAUGUUAGUUGUUUUGCAGGAAAAUGGAAAACCAGCAAAAAUAACAAAUUAGUUAUGAAUCAUAUUCACUGUGAUCGACAGAAACUGCAUUGAU
ensembl:ncRNA F55C12.14 ncRNA